AUUCAGCAGUAAUUAACAUUAAGCAAUAAGUGCAAACUUGACUUAGUCAUGGCAAUAUUCAGGGUUGGUAAAUCUUGUGCCAGCCACCGCGGUCACACAAGGGACCCAAAUUAAUUGUACUCGGCGUAAAGAGUGGUUAUAUGCUAUCAUACUGACUAAGAUCAAAGUAUAGCUAAGCUGUCAUAAACUUAUGAUAUACCUAAGACCCAUCUUAAAACGAUCCUAGCCCUGACGACUAAUUGAACCCACGAAAGCUAAGGCACAAACUGGGAUUAGAUACCCCACUAUGCUUAGCCCUAAAUCCUGAUACUAAUUCAACCAAAGUAUCCGCCUGAGAACUACGAGCACAAACGCUUAAAACUCUAAGGACUUGGCGG
rnacentral:ncRNA from 1 species